rnacentral:rRNA from 1 species
UGGGGGAGUGAAAUCCCUUAGUAACGAAGCUAACGCGUGAAGUUGACCGCCUGGGGAGUACGGUCGCAAGAUUAAAACUCAAAGGAAUUGACGGGGACCCGCACAAGCGGUGGAUGAUGUGGAUUAAUUCGAUGCAACGCGAAAAACCUUACCUACCCUUGACAUGUCCGGAAUCCUGCAGAGAUGCGGGAGUGCCCGAAAGGGAAUCGGAACACAGGUGCUGCAUGGCUGUCGUCAGCUCGUGUCGUGAGAUGUUGGGUUAAGUCCCGCAACGAGCGCAACCCUUAUCAUUAGUUGCUACGCAAGGGCACUCUAAUGAGACUGCCGGUGACAAACCGGAGGAAGGUGGGGAUGACGUCAAGUCCUCAUGGCCCUUAUGGGUAGGGCUUCACACGUCAUACAAUGGUCGGUACAGAGGGUUGCCAAGCCGCGAGGUGGAGCCAAUCCCAGAAAGCCGAUCGUAGUCCGGAUUGUUCUCUGCAACUCGAGAGCAUGAAGUCGGAAUCGCUAGUAAUCGCGGAUCAGCAUGUCGCGGUGAAUACGUUCCCGGGUCUUGUACACACCGCCCGUCACACCAUGGGAGUGGAAUCUGCCAGAAGUAGGUAGCCUAACCGCAAGGGGGG